rnacentral:rRNA from 1 species
AUUGAACGCUGGCGGCAGGCCUAACACAUGCAAGUCGAACGAGUGGCGGACGGGUGAGUAAUGUCUGGGAAACUGCCUGAUGGAGGGGGAUAACUACUGGAAACGGUAGCUAAUACCGCAUACCAUCGGAUGUGCCCAUAUGGGAUUAGCUAGUAGGUGGGGUAAAGGCUCACCUAGGCGACGAUCCCUAGCUGGUCUGAGAGGAUGACCAGCCACACGGGAACUGAGACACGGUCCAGACGCCUACGGGAGGCAGCAGUGGGGAAGAGUGCACAAUGGGCGCAAGCAUGAUGAAGCAAUGCCGCGUGGAUGAAGAAGGCCGUCGGGUUGUAAAAUACUUUCAGCGGGGAGGCGAUACCCGCAGAAGAAGCACCGGCGAACUCCGUGCCAGCAGCCGCGGUAAUAC